CUCCAUUCUUUAAGGAACCGACGUAACUUUUCUUCUUUUCUACGGGCAUCACGUCGACAAAACCACCUUCUUCAUCUGCAAUGACUCCGGCGUGCACUGCACUUUUGCAGAUACUGGAGCUAUCUGCAUAAAUGUUUGUGCCAAACACCGGUGCCCAGUAGGAUGGCUCAUCUUUACAGUGGGCUGGACAAUAAAUCCUUGGGCAGUGGGUCGUAGGCUUUUUGAACUGGCACAGCUCAGCUACUGUGGUGUAGCAAUCCAGUGUCUGUGUUGUGACUUUGGAAACCAUGAAUGCAUUGGAAG
rnacentral:lncRNA from 1 species